UUUGGCUAAAACAAACACCUCAACGUUGUUCUCUCCUCUCUACUCCUCCCCUCUCUUCUGCUCUUUUAUUUUCAUUCUUCUCCUCCGACCAAGGCAACCUCCAUGGCCACCGCCACAUGCAGGCUCUGAUGAGGAGCCUAGAAACCAUAGAACCCUUCCCUCUUCACCUCUUCACACCCGGACCUUAAAACUAAACUCACAGCCUAAAAAAACAAACCUAGGCGAAACAAAACCUUCCAAACCCUUAAGGAUUAUAUCCUUAACGAAAACGACUCUCGAAAACUAGAUGAGGCCAAACAACGAGAUGCUAUAAGACUUCAGGUCUUACCCUCGACGGCUCAACGACGUCUGGACGAAGGGAGAUGGUGACGAAGCUUUUUGGAUGGGAAAGGGGAGGCCUUUUCGUUUUUCGCUCCUCUUUUGGGGUGGAUUACUCAUGGUGGUGGCAGAAAAGGCUUGUGGGGACCGAUUUGGUGUGCACGAAUUCUAUCUACGAGUGUGUGGAGUAUUUGAGAAGUCUCGCGUGGAUCUCACGCGUGAGAUCUGACGGUUUGAUGUCCUCAGGUGAAGCUAGGUCAUUGGAUCGCUGACUGGAUUCAACGGUUAACAUAGUGCGGUGACGGCAGAAGAUGAUCUUAGGGUUAACAAACCUUAACUCAAGCAUAAUCUGACUGUUGAUCUCAUAAGAGAUCCAACAGUGCAUGCUGGGAAUGACUGAAAACCCUAUCUGCGUUGGACUGCUACUUCUUGGGCCUCAACUGGGUUCAUUUGCUGGGUUGUUUGUAAUUAUUUUAGGCCUGUAAAAAU